UAUCCGAAUGCAGAAUGUUUUCCGGUUCCUCAGGAGGAAAAUGCAAGAGGUGCGUUCCCUCAUCCUUCUCAAAGGCUAGGUUAGCUAACAGAUCGGCACACCGGUUCCUUUCUCUCCAUUUCUCUCAUUUUUGAAGGAGACGACAAGCCACUUCACGUCUACUUCCACGAUGAGAUUUCUGGCGUUUAGGGCUUUGGCAAGAAUUAGCCCCUAUCUUAAUCCCUAAAUUUCAGCUCCAUCGGUAUUUAGGAUCCAUGAUCAUCUGGGCGGUCGUCUCCACUUCACCCAUCUCGGCUCCUUGGUGAUAUUCGAUUGUAAGUUCUCUAAAGCAAUUUUGAUGAUUUUGGCUAGGUUAAGGCUGUAUUGCAUAAUUUCUGUUGGGUUCCUAGUACUGUUCUUGAAGAUUUUAUUGUUUCUCUCCUUCCUUAACCCUCAAAUAAUUGUUGUGAAAAGAAUUCCCCAGCUGAUUCCUUCAAAACUCGUUCUUUUGGAAGUACUGUUUUUCUGUAGUCUUCUUUAAAAUCGCUUAAUUCAAAAUGUGGAUCUCCUUGAUGAGCAGCAGUUUUCUCCCAAACAGAUUUUACUGUAGUACAUCUUCUGAACAAGUGAUCUAAGCUUUCAAUUUCGUCCUGGCAGCUAUUACAAUUUGGAUUUUGGGUCAUCUUUUUCUCGAAUCUCAUUUGUAUUCAACCUGUUAAGGAUGCAUAGCCAAAUAAACAUUCUUAUGUGUUCAGUGGUUUCCAAUCUCCAAAUCCAAUCAAGCUUUUGCGACUGCUGUUCCUGUGGAAUUUUAUUAAAAAUAUAUCUAAAAGCAGAUUUCACUGUAAACUUUCCAUCUUUUGAAUAACCCCAACCGAUAACAUCUGAAUUGCUUCUCUGAUUAGUCAUAGGUAGUGGAAUGCUUCUGAUCUGAUUUACUGUCUCAGUCGAAACUAAGUUUUAUAACUCCAUGAUUUUCCAAUUAUUAUCCUCCGGUAUAGGUUUCUCUUUCUGGAUAAUCAUUGAUGAGAGCUGAUGAUCCCACCCACCAAUCAUGCCAAAGCCUAGUCUGAUCUCCAGAUCUUAUUUGAUGUUUACAGCCUCGUUUCACAAUAUCACGGGUUUUAAGGAUACCUUUCCAAGUCGAAGAGCUUGUAGAGCGAUUUUCAGCUUCCAUGAAAUUUUUGUUUUUUAGAUAUUUCUCUUUGAAAAUUCUAGUCCACAAAGUGUCUUGGUCUUUAAACAUCCGCCAGUUGUUCUUCGCCAUUAAGGCUAGAUUCAUCUGUCUUGUCUUGCUUAUCCCCAGUCCCCCAACUGUUUUAGAUCUGCACAGUGUCCCAGCUGACUAAAUGGUUGUGGGAGUAUUCGGUAUUCCCACCCUAAAGAAAAUUUCGGUUGAUUUUGUCAAGUUUUUCACAAGUAGCCAAUGGAAGAAUAGUAGAUUGCAUGGUGUGAAUAGGUAUCGCACCCGUGGUAGAUUGCACUAAUGUUCUACGACCAGAUAGAGACAAUACCUUUCCUUUCCAACCCGGGAGGGGAGCUUCUUCAUGACUUUUUCAAUUAGAGCCUUAGAGGUGUGUAGGUUUUGGAGUUGGCCCUUUUGUGAAGAAUAGGUACCCCUAAAUAAACUCCCAAAUGGUUAUGCUAUUUAAAGGGUUAAAUUUUAUUUUCUAAGUUUAAGGAAUACACUAAUUAUUUUUUCUCAAAAGUUUGAGAGUC